AUGGAGGUUGUUAUCUGCGGCCCCUAUAUAGUUCUGAAAUGGCAAGAGUUCUUGCCCAAUAAGCUGCCAAGGCCAUUAAAGUCCUUGAUCACAUGGCGUCCUAACGUCUGGAUAUUCAGAGACACAACCAUUCUUGUGAUCAUAUCUUAUCUGAUAUUACUGGACAUCAACUUGAGCUUCCUCUGGCUUUUCAUCUUUCCCGUCAUAGCCAUUGUUUUCAUACGAGCGGUCCGCUUCAAGUUCAGUCUUCCUACGUGCAGCAGCAAUCAUAAAGUUACUCACGGAUCUUCUAACGGCGCCGAGGAGACAAAAAUGAAAACUAAGAAGGUUGGGAUCAUAGUGAUCAUGACGCUCGGGGCGCUAUUGGGUAUGGACCAACUUCCAGACCAUGCAGCUGACGGGUUCGCCAUCUCCCAGUUCCUCAUUUUCCUAAGCUCCAUGGUGGCGGCACUGACGCGCAUGAUGAUGAAGCUGCGCGCUCGGGCCUCUUCGUUGGGCAUAACAACAGCGUCGGAGAUGCUCCACAAGACCCUGCUUAUCCUUCUACUAGUGACGGCACACACGGGGGCCGCAGAGUGGCUGGGCGAGGAUGUUGUUCUUCUCUGCUUGCCAGAGGUCAUCCCUGUACUCGGCUGGUUCAUUCUUCACAUUGACCGUAAACCAGACAGCAGCUCCAUCAUCAGUGUCGACAAAAUGAAGGCACGCAUAAAUUGGCUUGGCUUGAUCGGUGCAAUGGUGGGUGUUUUCGCGUACCUGUUGUUCACCAUGGAUGAAUCCGGCCUCUUCGGUUGGUGUAUGACAUUCCAGGUGUCAUGUGGCGUCUCAGGGAUCCUGACAUGCUACCUCGUGUUCAUGCUAAACCACUGGACGAGGCAACAAGUUGCACCUGCUAGUAAGGAGGAUGGGGCUUCCGGUAUGCUCAAGUUAUGGGCAUGUGCUUUGCUGAUAGCGUGGGCUGCGUCGCUGCUGCUCGGGUAUCUGGUUUCCCGCCGGCUUGGCCUGCAACUACCACUGCAUGCGACAGCUAUGUAUGUUGGCAAUCUUUUCGGCUUUAAGUACUCACAUUAG
rnacentral:rRNA from 1 species